rnacentral:rRNA from 1 species
GGGAGCAAACAGGAUUAGAUACCCUGGUAGUCCACGCCCUAAACGAUGUCAACUAGCUGUUGGGGCCGUUAGGCCUUAGUAGCGCAGCUAACGCGUGAAGUUGACCGCCUGGGGAGUACGGUCGCAAGAUUAAAACUCAAAGGAAUUGACGGGGACCCGCACAAGCGGUGGAUGAUGUGGAUUAAUUCGAUGCAACGCGAAAAACCUUACCUACCCUUGACAUGUCUGGAAAGCCGAAGAGAUUUGGCCGUGCUCGCAAGAGAACCGGAACACAGGUGCUGCAUGGCUGUCGUCAGCUCGUGUCGUGAGAUGUUGGGUUAAGUCCCGCAACGAGCGCAACCCUUGUCAUUAGUUGCUACGCAAGAGCACUCUAAUGAGACUGCCGGUGACAAACCGGAGGAAGGUGGGGAUGACGUCAAGUCCUCAUGGCCCUUAUGGGUAGGGCUUCACACGUCAUACAAUGGUCGGGACAGAGGGUCGCCAACCCGCGAGGGGGAGCCAAUCUCAGAAACCCGAUCGUAGUCCGGAUCGCAGUCUGCAACUCGACUGCGUGAAGUCGGAAUCGCUAGUAAUCGCGGAUCAGAAUGU